AACAAACGCUGGCGGCGUGCCUAAUAUAUGCAAGUCGAACGGGGAAAGCUUUCGGGUGAGUACUAGUGGCGCACGGGUGAGGAACGCGUGGAUAAUCUGCCUUAGAGUGGGGGAUAACUAGUCGAAAGAUUAGCUAAUACCGCAUAAGACCACAGGAGCUGCGGCUCAAGGGGUCAAAGGUUUUUCGCUCUAAGAUGAGUCCGCGUAAGAUUAGCUAGUUGGUGAGGUAACGGCUCACCAAGGCGACGAUCGUUAACUGGUCUGAGAGGAUGAUCAGUCACACUGGAACUGAGAGACGGUCCAGACUCCUACGGGAGGCAGCAGUAGGGAAUAUUGCACAAUGGAGGAAACUCUGAUGCAGCGACGCCGCGUGAGUGAUGAAGGCCUUCGGGUCGUAAAGCUCUGUCGCAGGGGAAUAACACAAUGAAGGUACCCUGUAAGAAAGGAUCGGCUAACUUCGUGCCAGCAGCCGCAGUAAAAC
rnacentral:rRNA from 1 species